GACGAGGUGGCCGAGUCGUUAAGGCAAUAGAUUGCUAAUUCUUUGGGCUCUGCCCGCGUGGAUUCAAAUCCCAUUCUUGUUG